rnacentral:rRNA from 1 species
UACGUAGGGUGCAAGCGUUGUCCGGAAUUAUUGGGCGUAAAGGGCUCGUAGGCGGUCUGUUGCGUCGGGAGUGAAAACCCAGGGCUUAACCCUGGGCUGGCUUCCGAUACGGGCAGACUAGAGGUAUGCAGGGGAGAACGGAAUUCCUGGUGUAGCGGUGAAAUGCGCAGAUAUCAGGAGGAACACCGGUGGCGAAGGCGGUUCUCUGGGCAUUACCUGACGCUGAGGAGCGAAAGUGUGGGGAGCGAACAGG